CCUACGGGUGGCAGCAGUAGGGAAUAUUGCUCAAUGGGGGAAACCCUGAAGCAGCAACGCCGCGUGGAGGAUGAAGGUUUUCGGAUUGUAAACUCCUUUUGUUAGAGAAGAUAAUGACGGUAUCUAACGAAUAAGCACCGGCUAACUACGUGCAAGCAGCCGCGGGAAUACGGAGGGUGCAAGCGUUACUCGGAAUCACUGGGCGUAAAGAGCGCGUAGGCGGGAUAGCAAGUCAGAUGUGAAAUCCUAUGGGUUAACCAUAGAACUGCAUUUGAAACUGUUAUUCUAGAGUAUGGGAGAGGUAGGUGGAAUGCGUGGUGUAGGGGUGAAAUGCGUAGAGAUCAAGCGGAAUACUCAUUGCGAAGGCGACCUGCUGGAACAUAACUGACGCUGAUGCGCGAAAGCGUGGGGAGCGAACAGGAUUAGAUACCCCUGUAGUC
rnacentral:rRNA from 1 species